rnacentral:rRNA from 1 species
GAUGAACGCUGGCGGCGUGCUUAACACAUGCAAGUCGAACGAUGAUGCCCAGCUAGCUGGGUGGGUUAGUGGCGAACGGGUGAGUAACACGUGAGUAACCUGCCCUUGACUCUGGGAUAAGCCUGGGCAACUGGGUCUAAUACCGGAUACGACCAUCUGGCGCAUGUCAUGGUGGUGGAAAGAUUUUGUGGCUUUGGAUGGACUCGCGGCCUAUCAGCUUGUUGGUGGGGUAAUGUUCUACCAAGGCGACGACGGGUAGCCGGCCUGAGAGGGUAACCGGCCCCGCUGGGACUGAGACACGGCCCAGACUCCUACGGGAGGCAGCAGUGGGGAAUAGUGCACAAUGGGCGCAAGCCUGAUGCAGCGACGCCGCGUGGGGGAUAACGGCCUUCGGGUUGUAAACCUCUUUCAGUAGAGAAGAAGCGAAAGUGACGGUACCUGCAGAAGAAGCGCCGGCUAACUACGUG